rnacentral:rRNA from 1 species
ACGCUAGCUACGGGCUUAACACAUGCAAGUCGAGGGGCAGCAUGGUCUUAGCUUGCUAAGGCCGAUGGCGACCGGCGCACGGGUGAGUAACACGUAUCCAACCUGCCGUCUACUCUUGGACAGCCUUCUGAAAGGAAGAUUAAUACAAGAUGGCAUCAUGAGUCCGCAUGUUCACAUGAUUAAAGGUAUUCCGGUAGACGAUGGGGAUGCGUUCCAUUAGAUAGUAGGCGGGGUAACGGCCCACCUAGUCUUCGAUGGAUAGGGGUUCUGAGAGGAAGGUCCCCCACAUUGGAACUGAGACACGGUCCAAACUCCUACGGGAGGCAGCAGUGAGGAAUAUUGGUCAAUGGGCGAGAGCCUGAACCAGCCAAGUAGCGUGAAGGAUGACUGCCCUAUGGGUUGUAAACUUCUUUUAUAAAGGAAUAAAGUCGGGUAUGGAUACCCGUUUGCAUGUACUUUAUGAAUAAGGAUCGGCUAACUCCGUGCCAGCAGCCGCGGUAAUACGGAGGAUCCGAGCGUUAUCCGGAUUUAUUGGGUUUAAAGGGAGCGUAGAUGGAUGUUUAAGUCAGUUGUGAAAGUUUGCGGCUCAACCGUAAAAUUGCAGUUGAUACUGGAUAUCUUGAGUGCAGUUGAGGCAGGCGGGAUUCGUGGUGUAGCGGUGAAAUGCUUAGAUAUCACGAAGAACUCCGAUUGCGAAGGCAGCCUGCUAAGCUGCAACUGACAUUGAGGCUCGAAAGUGUGGGUAUCAAACAGGAUUAGAUACCCUGGUAGUCCACACGGUAAACGAUGAAUACUCGCUGUUUGCGAUAUACGGCAAGCGGCCAAGCGAAAGCGUUAAGUAUUCCACCUGGGGAGUACGCCGGCAACGGUGAAACUCAAAGGAAUUGACGGGGGCCCGCACAAGCGGAGGAACAUGUGGUUUAAUUCGAUGAUACGCGAGGAACCUUACCCGGGCUUAAAUUGCAGAUGAAUUACGGUGAAAGCCGUAAGCCGCAAGGCAUCUGUGAAGGUGCUGCAUGGUUGUCGUCAGCUCGUGCCGUGAGGUGUCGGCUUAAGUGCCAUAACGAGCGCAACCCUUGUUGUCAGUUACUAACAGGUUCCGCUGAGGACUCUGACAAGACUGCCAUCGUAAGAUGUGAGGAAGGUGGGGAUGACGUCAAAUCAGCACGGCCCUUACGUCCGGGGCUACACACGUGUUACAAUGGGGGGUACAGAGGGCCGCUACCACGCGAGUGGAUGCCAAUCCCCAAAACCUCUCUCAGUUCGGACUGGAGUCUGCAACCCGACUCCACGAAGCUGGAUUCGCUAGUAAUCGCGCAUCAGCCACGGCGCGGUGAAUACGUUCCCGGGCCUUGUACACACCGCCCGUCAAGCCAUGGGAGCCGGGGGUACCUGAAGUGCGUAACCGCGAGGAGCGCCCUAGGGUAAAACUGGUGACUGGGGCUAAG